rnacentral:tRNA from 1 species
GGAGAGGUGUCCGAGAGGCCGAAGGAACACGACUGGAAAUCGUGUUCUCGUGAAAGCGAGACGUGGGUUCGAAUCCCACCCUCUCCGCCA